GACCUUACUGACCGACCCUGGCCAGAUCCUGAUGAGGAGCUAUACACAGACGGGAGCAGUUACGUGGAUGAAGGAACUAGUUCCAUUCCAGAUACAGCCUGGAGACCUCGUCUGGGUA